GACGAACGCUGGCGGCGUGCCUAAUACAUGCAAGUAGAACGCUGAAGAGAGGAGCUUACUCUUCUUGGAUGAGUUGCGAACGGGUGAGUAACGCGUAGGUAACCUGCCUUGUAGCGGGGGAUAACUAUGGGAAACGAUAGCUAAUACCGCAUAACAAUGGGUGACACAUGGCAGUUAGUUGAAAGGGGCAAUUGCUCCACGACAAGAUGGACUAGCGUUGUAUUAGCUAGUAGGUGAGGUAACUGCUCCUCUAGGCGACGAUACAUAGCCGACCUGAGAGGGUGGUCGGCCGCCCUGGGACUGUGACCCGCCCCAGUCGCCUUCGGGAGGCAGCCGUAGGGCAUCGUCGGCAAUGGGGGCAAACCUGACCGCGCAGCGCCGCGUGAGGGAAGAAGGUUUUCGGGUCGUGAAUCUCUGUUGUAAGUUAAGAACGGGUGUGAGAGUGGAAAGUUCACACUGUGACGGUAGCUUAUCAGAAAGGGACGGCUAACUACGUG
rnacentral:rRNA from 1 species